rnacentral:rRNA from 1 species
AACGAACGCUGGCGGCAGGCCUAACACAUGCAAGUCGAGCGCCCCGCAAGGGGAGCGGCGGACGGGUGAGUAACACGUGGGAACGUACCCUUUGCUACGGAAUAGUCUCGGGAAACUGGGGGUAAUACCGUAUGUGCCCUUCGGGGGAAAGAUUUAUCGGCAAAGGAUCGGCCCGCGUUGGAUUAGGUAGUUGGUGGGGUAAUGGCCUACCAAGCCGACGAUCCAUAGCUGGUUUGAGAGGAUGAUCAGCCACACUGGGACUGAGACACGGCCCAGACUCCUACGGGAGGCAGCAGUGGGGAAUCUUAGACAAUGGGCGCAAGCCUGAUCUAGCCAUGCCGCGUGAGCGAUGAAGGCCUUAGGGUUGUAAAGCUCUUUCAGUGGGGAAGAUAAUGACUGUACCCACAGAAGAAG